GGAAGGGAUGAGACAGCACGGAGGGGAGCGGACGGUGGGUCACUGGCACUGGCGGCCUCGGGAGCGCUUCUGUGGCAAGAACCUUGCAUGGUACCUGGUGAAUCAGGGUCUCCCAGAGGUUGGAGGGCCUUUUCUGUGUCUGAGGACCCUGACAUCAUUUGAAGCCAGAACAAAUGACAAAAUGAGGUUCUACAAAAAAUCAUCAUAUACUUGAAUUGGUAAGUGGAAGGAAUUAAUGCUUUCCCCACAUUUGCCCCAAAAUAAACAUGCACAUGCUCUUCACAAGAUAGUUACAGACCUAUUAAAAAAUUACUCUAGGUGGCUCAGUGGUUAAGCAUCCGACUCUUAAUUUCAGCUCAGGUCGUGAUCUCAGGGUCAUGAGAUAGAGCCCUGAGUUGGGCUCUGUGCUCAGCCUGGAGUCUGCCUGG
rnacentral:lncRNA from 1 species